GUGGGUGACAUACCCUCAGAUGGGGAUAGCUAUUAGAAAUAGUAGAUAAUACCGAAUACGAGCACAGGGGUUAGAGAUCUGUGAGGAAAGGAGCUAAGGCUCCGCUGAAGGAAUGGCCUGCGGCCCAUUAGCUAGUUGGUGAGGUAAGAGCCCACCAAGGCGAUGAUGGGUAUCCGGCCUUAGAGGGUGAACGGACACAUUGGGACUGAGAUACGGCCCAGACUCCUACGGGAGGCAGCAGCUAAGAAUAUUCCGCAAUGGACGAAAGUCUGACGGAGCGACGCCGCGUGGAAUGAAGAAGGCCGGAAGGUUGUAAAAUCCUUUUGAAACUGAAGAAUAAGCGUUGUAGGGAAUGACAGCGUGGUGACAGUAGGUUUUGAAUAAGCAACGGCUAAUUACGUGCCAGCCGCAGC
rnacentral:rRNA from 1 species